UGGGGAAUUUUGGACAAUGGGCGCAAGCCUGAUCCAGCAAUGCCGCGUGAGUGAAGAAGGCCUUCGGGUUGUAAAGCUCUUUCAGUUGAGAAGAAAAGAUUGUGACUAAUAAUUGCAAUUCAUGACGGUAUCAACAGAAGAAGCACCGGCUAACUACGUGCCAGCAGCCGCGGUAAUACGUAGGGUGCGAGCGUUAAUCGGAAUUACUGGGCGUAAAGGGUGCGCAGGCGGUUCUGUAAGUCAGAUGUGAAAUCCCCGGGCUUAACCUGGGAAUUGCAUUUGAAACUGGAAAACUAGAGUGUGUGAGAGGGGGGUAGAAUUCCAAGUGUAGCGGUGAAAUGCGUAGAGAUUUGGAGGAAUACCGAUGGCGAAGGCAGCCCCCUGGGAUAACACUGACGCUCAUGCACGAAAGCGUGGGGAGCAAACAGGAUUAGAUACCCUAGUAGUCCCUGAGCGGGCUGGCAAGGCGCAU
rnacentral:rRNA from 1 species